rnacentral:rRNA from 1 species
CGUAGGAGACAAACGUUAUCCGGAGUUACUGGGCGUAAAGGGCGUGUAGGUGGUUACGUAAGUCUGGCGUGAAAUUUCUCGGCUUAACCGAGGCAGGUCGUCGGAUACUGCGAGACUAGAGGACGGUAGAGGCGUGUGGAAUUCCGGGUGUAGUGGUGAAAUGCGUAGAGAUCCGGAGGAACACCAGUGGCGAAGGCGACACGCUGGGCCGUACCUGACACUGAGGCGCGAUAGCAUGGGGAGCAAAACAGGAUUAGAAACCCUGGUAGUCCAUGCCGUAAACGAUGCUAGCUGGGUGUUCAGGGGGGGAAACCCCUCGGGGUACCGAAGUCAACACGGUAAGCUAGCCGCCUGGGGAGUACGGUCGCAAGAUUAA